rnacentral:rRNA from 1 species
GAUGAACGCUGGCGGCGUGCCUAAUACAUGCAAGUCGAGCGAACGGACGAGAAGCUUGCUUCUCUGAUGUUAGCGGCGGACGGGUGAGUAACACGUGGAUAACCUACCUAUAAGACUGGGAUAACUUCGGGGAACCGGAGCUAAUACCGGAUAAUAUUUUGAACCGCAUGGUUCAAAAGUGAAAGACGGUCUUGCUGUCACUUAUAGAUGGAUCCGCGCUGCAUUAGCUAGUUGGUAAGGUAACGGCUUACCAAGGCAACGAUGCAUAGCCGACCUGAGAGGGUGAUCGGCCACACUGGAACUGAGACACGGUCCAGACUCCUACGGGAGGCAGCAGUAGGGAAUCUUCCGCAAUGGGCGAAAGCCUGACGGAGCAACGCCGCGUGAGUGAUGAAGGUCUUCGGAUCGUAAAACUCUGUUAUUAGGGAAGAACAUAUGUGUAAGUAACUGUGCACAUCUUGACGGUACCUAAUCAGAAAGCCACGGCUAACUACGU